rnacentral:lncRNA from 1 species
AUAGUACAACACCCAAGAUGCGGUAAGAACUAUACAUAAUAAACCCACCUAAAAUCGCUAACUACUAUACACAAACCCCCACUUAGUAAAUCUAAACCCUAACCAGAAACUUAUAAACUCAAAUACAAUCUAUAAACUAUUUUUCAAUAUUAGACAAUCUAAACCCUAACAAGAAACAUAUAACAUGGCAAAUUAUUACAUAUUUAAUAAAUAGUAUAGAAAUAUUGUCUCAAAUAGUAUAGAACUUAUAAAUAGUAUAGAAUGACUGACUCACACCCAACUUUAAAUAUUAAACCCUAAACAAUUAUCACUAAACCCAAAACUCAACCCUCACCUUUCAAAUACUAAACCCUAAAUCUCAAUCACAAAAUCCUAAAUCAUACCACCCAUUUAAAUAUUAAACCUUAAACAAACUCCCUAGUUACUAAAUCUAAACCCAAAUAUAAUGUCUAUGAUUGCAUGAAAGAGUUAAUGCUGAUCCCAACCAUACCCCCUCACCUUCUAAAUACUAAACCCUAAAUUCUAGUCACUAAACCCUAAUCCAAAUAUACCCUAAACC